CAAUACAAAGGAUUUGCCUUUCCCGUUUUUCCAGUAUUCUCAUACUCACCAGUUACAUAGUAACACAGAGAAGUUGAUCGAGAACAAAUACUAUAAGGCAACCAGGAGGGCUGGUCGUUCUUCAGGAAAUCAAGUAUGUGAUUCAAAUCUCAUAUACAUAUUGCGUUUCAGCAUCCAAAAUUCUGAUGUGAUGAGAACUUGUUCAUGCGAAAGCUGAAAAGGGUAGUUAUUUGUCAUCUUCCCUUUUUAUGAAACAAAAGAGAGAGAGAUCAGGCAGGAGUUCUAUGUUGAAUAUAUUGGUGGAGGAGAGUAUGGUAGUUAACAAGAGGCCAAGGCCAAGAUAGAGAAAAAAAAAGCGCGUCUUGUUGAUGAUGUUUUGGAUGUCCGUUGAGAAAUCCUUGCAUCUGUUCUUUGAUUCUUUCGAUAAGCCCAUGGCACAAACAUAAUAAGUAGUGAAAGAUCAAGGACGCACAGUUUUAUGUGGUUGUGGCAUGGGAUUUAUCUAAAAAAACAACUUUCUUCUGAACAGACAAAUGCUACACAGAAAAUCACUUCUCUUGCGCUUGAUGCUACCACAAAAUUCAAACUACACAAGAAUGUGGGGAGGAAAUUAAGCAAGAAAUAAAGGUCACCGUGGAUGAACAGAACAUCAACUUACAAUUUUUUUCUCAAGAACAUUCUACAGUUUUUUGGACAACAGAUAUUCCUGGCCUUGUUUAGUUCCCAAAAAUUUUUGUAAAAUUUUUCAAAUUCUCAAAAAAAGAAAAACUCGACCAGGGGGAGAGACGUCCCUCUGAUUUUCGACUUAAGAAGAUGGUGCCGUGACCAUCACAUCAAAUUUUGUGGCAUAUGCAUGGAGAAUUAAAUAUAGGUAAAAGAAAUAACUAAUUACACAGUUUACCUGUAAUUUGCGAGACAAAUAUUUUGAACCUAAUUAGUCCAUGAUUGGACAAUAUUUGUCAAAUGCAAACGAAAGUGCUACAUUGUCCAUUUUGCCAAAAAAUUUGGAAGUAAACAAGGCCCAGGAUUCCAUUAUGAAAACAGGCAACGGAAUUGUAAAGUUCAACAUGUUUAGCAAACCCAACCAUAACCAAGCAAGGUCAGCUGCCUUUUAGGCCUCGUUCGGUUAUAUUGGGAUUGAUUCCCGGCCUGCCAUUUCUUCAAUAUUUUCUAUGAAGCCGUAAAUAUUCCUGGCAAGGAACGGUGCAACCGAACGGAACCUGAAUGGAAAGCAUGCCAGGCGUCUAGUGGCUGUGAACGUCCAUACUCCAAAAAGAAGACUUUGCCUCACCAAGGUUUAACAAGCUUGAGAACGUUCUAGCUGAAGCAACAGCCGAACUACAAGGAAGCUAUACAGCAGCUAAGAAAUUCCACCACCAGAUCCAGGAUCAACAAGGACAGGGGUUCGUGGUAGACUUACUUGUCUAUGCAAGCGUCGAGUAGUGAGGAUGUUUUUCCUUACCAGGAUAGAGGCAUUAAUUAGCUCGAGUUGGCUACACCUUCACACAAUCGUGCCUGAGGAGCUCUUCAAGAAGCCACUCCUUGCUCCCCAAGCAGCUUGUCAUCUCUUGUUGUUGCUUGAUGGAAUUGGAAUGCCGUGUCCUCUAGCUCUUUGAAUCAGCAUCUCUUGAACCGCCUCUUUGAGCUUACCUGCCCAAUAAAAAAACGAGCUAGCUAGCAGACAAGAUACACAAUCUCAAUAGAGAUCUUUUUUUAUUGGAACUUGAAAACAGGAGGGGCUACUCCUUACUGAAACUGUGUAAGGUGUAAAAGCACAGUACAAGGUACAGAGGUAAACCUCAAGAAUAUGUGUAAAGAAAGAAAGAGAAUCAUGAAAAUUACACAAAAGCUCUAGCCUUUGAUCAAUAACACGAGAGUAAUUUUUCUUAGGUCAUGGACAACCAGAGCAAUUUCUUGCUUGAAAAUCUCUUUGCACCUCUGUGACGUGAGCUGAAUAGCCUUGAAGAUUAAAUUAUUACAAACUGAUCAAAUACUCCAACACAAAAUUGCACCAACAUAUUUUCCAGAUCACCCUUGUUAGCAAAUCUGGUUUCCAUUCCCCAUACAGAUGCUGAAGAUAAGCAAUCCAAUCAAUAAUAGGUUGAACUUCAGCCUUGGUAAGCUUCUUCCACUCUUCCAGGACUUCUAGUUUCAAAUAUUCAUCCUGCAAGGUGCUUCUGUAUCAUUUUGUUUCUCCCAUUUCUAAUUUUCCCCUACCCAUUUAGAAACUUGUUUACUCAGGUAUCUUAAUUACCCAUUUAUCAGUUGCAUUCUUAUCUGUGAUAUGCAGCAAACUCACUGUGAAUGCCAACGGUUUUAUCAAGGCAGUUUCAAAAGGAAAAGGUUUUGACUACUUUUGUGUAUCCACAUCACCUUUAUACGGUAAAGGGUUAUGAUAAGACAUUAUUUUUUAAAGAUAGAGGAAAAUAUUUCCCCACUCUUCACUAGUGAAGUAACCCUCAUCCGUGUCAGUUAUCAGAGCUCAUACUUAAGAAUCAGGCACAUAUAAGUGAUGUAUUGGAGCCAGUGUGAAAACCAGGACAGAUCUUCAAGUAUUUUAUGCCAAGGCCUUGUUUAGUUCCGAAAUUUUUUUAGUUUUGUGUACUGUAGCAUUUUGUUUUUAUUUGGUAAAUAUUGUCCAAUCAUGGGAGUAACUAGGCCCAAAAGAUUCAUCUCGCGAUUUACGGGUAAACUGUGCAAUUAGUUUUUGUUUUCUUCUAUAUUUAAUGCUCCAUACAUGUGCCGCAAGAUUCGAUGUGACGGAGAAUCUUGAAAAGUUUUUGGUUUUUUGGGUGAACUAAACAAGGCCCAACUGUGGUUGGGUGCCGGUUCAGAUAAUUACUUUAUCCAUGCUGCCAUUUGUUACAAGACGGUAGUGACAUUAGCACAUCACUAAUCACAUUAAUUGUGUGAGUGAAAGCAAAGCUUUUCCCAACAAAUGUAGACACCAGAACACUAUCAUGCUUAGAAAACAUAAAAGCUGGAAAAAAAAACGGCACGUGAUAUUGUGAAAUAUGAAACUACAAUUUGACACCAAAGGCUUCAAAAGUAGAUUAAACGGACAAUGCCAAAUGUUGUUGACACCAUUUUUAGGCACGUGUCUAGGAUGGCAGGAUAAGGUGGCAGUACGAUGUUUACAAAGUGAGUUGCCGAUGAGGAUGGUUGCCGAUGAGGGAGAAGUUGAACGUGACUAAGUCUACAGGCAGUGAUAUUGUGCCGAUGGCUAGAUAAGAAAGUCUGCCGAUGACUAUGGCAAAGGGUCUGCCGAUGAUGCAAAGAGGGAGUCCGGAAGCUGCCGGUCGUUAUGUGGAGGAGUUUCGGUUUGUC
rnacentral:lncRNA from 1 species